rnacentral:rRNA from 1 species
GGGGGAUUAAAUAUUUUUGGGUUAACAGUUAAAAAAAUUUUGUCCAUUAAUUUUAAAGUUUUUAGGUGAAAUUUUAAUUUUAUGUUAAUAGGUUAUUUUUGAAUCUGUGAAAUUUAUAUUAAAAACAAGGAUUAGAUCCCCUUUUAUUUUAAAUGUAAAUAUUACCCUGGGUAGUAAUAGUUAUGUUCUUGAAACCCAAAGAAUUUGGCGGUAUUUAUUCUUUUUAGAGGAACCUGUCCUGUAAUUGAUAGUCCACGAUAGGCAUGUACUUACUCUUGUAUUCAUUUUGUAUACCUCCGUCAUCAGAGCAUCUUUUUAGAGAAAAUGUUCAAUUACUACAAAAUAUUAUAUGUCAGGUCAAGGUGCAAUUUAUGGGUAAGUAGAGAUGGGUUACAAUAAAUUUAUUUAUACGAAUUAAUAGUAUUAAUAUUAUUAUGAAGGUGGAUUUAAAAGUAAAAUUAAUUCUUUAUUAUUUUGAUUUUAGCUCUAAAAUAUGCACACAUCGCCCGUCGCUCUUAUUUUAAAAUAAGAUAAGUCGUAACAUAGUAGGUGUACUGGAAGGUGUACCUAGAAAGAUA